rnacentral:rRNA from 1 species
UACGAAUGGGGCAAGCGUUGUUCGGAAUCACUGGGCUUAAAGCGUGCGUAGGCGGCUAUGCAAGUCAGGAGUGAAAUCCCAGGGCUUAACCCUGGAAUUGCUUUUGAAACUCCAUAGCUAGAAUCCGGGAGAGGUUAGCAGAAUUCCGAGUGUAGAGGUGAAAUUCGCAGAUAUUCGGAGGAAUACCAGUGGCGUAGGCGGCUAACUGGACCGGCAUUGACGCUGAGGUACGAAAGCGUGGGUAGCAAACAGG